rnacentral:rRNA from 1 species
GUCCACGCCGUAAACGAUGGAUACUAGCUGUUGGGGGCAACUUCAGUGGCUAAGCGAAAGUGAUAAGUAUCCCACCUGGGGAGUACGGGCGCAAGCCUGAAACUCAAAAGGAAUUGACGGGGGCCCGCACAAGCGGUGGAGCAUGUGGUUUAAUUCGAUGAUACGCGAGGAACCUUACCAAGGCUUAAAUGUAGAUUGACCGAUUUGGAAACAGAUCUUUCGCAAGACAAUUUACAAGGUGCUGCAUGGUUGUCGU